AGAAGAAAUUAUUGAUGAAAAACAUUAUUAUAUACACUGAUGAAAAAAAUUAACUUGAAUAUAAUUAAAGUAAGAAUUUAUUGAAGAUGCGGGCGUCGAUGGUGAAGACUAAACUGGUGUUAUCACAAAAGUAAUAGCAAGUGGUUGGACUUGUAUUAUUUACACUUACACUUAAACUUACUCCGGCUGACUGACGUGACUCGACAAGUAGAGAGUCAAAAGUCUAUCGUACGAUGCAAUGUAAAGAGCGGUAUAAUGAUAAUAUUGAGUAGAGGCAAAUUGUAAGUGUACGAAUAGACUUAUAAGACAUAACAGAGCAUCCACGUAUAAGUAUUGAACUUACUUGAUGAGUGGUGGGCUCGACAUAAGUGGGGAGUCUUUGACCACUGCUGGCCGGGACGUUGAUGAUGCUCUCCCGAUGGUGCGUUAGGCCAGAUACUGAACUCCAUCUUCGUCCGGUCGUCGUACUUGUUUCCAUCAUUGAAUUCUGCUGACGACAAACAAUUCAUGGUCACUUGUUCAUUUUAUUCAUUUUAUGUACACUUACUCACUACUGUAUAUGUUAUAUAUCUAAGCAAUACAUUAUUUAUCUAUUGUAUUCUGGUACCGUGGAUAAAUCACGUUUAGUUAUUGUCAAGGAAUUAUUUAAAUUACCAGUCUAAUGAGUAAUAGCUGGGUGAUCAAUUGUUGGGUAUUCUGAUGACAGGAUCUAUCUUGUAUUGUAGUUUUGCAAACCUGAUUUCUGAUGUGUCAUUUUUUCAAAAGAAAGAGGUCAAGAGUUUCGAGUUAGGAUGUAUAAAUUACUCCCCGGAAAUGUUUGAUGAUUAGAUACCGUGCGUGAUUAACCCGACGUUGAUUGAGCAAGGUGAAGGGUUGAAGCGGCACUGGAACGUGUCAGUAAAUUUAAUUGCAAUCUUUAAAAACAUGUCAUGUCAGUAAUAAGCAGUAGGCAUCAGUAAACGUACUUAUGCGCAAACAUUGAAAACUGAGAGCAGAGGCUUGACUUGUCUCUAGAGAUUAAGGCGAGGGUGUAAUGUGACAAGCCAAAGUGAAAGAUAAUACUCUCGAGUGGUGUAUGCUCCCGAGUGUGUACAUACAUUUAUGUAUAUUAAAUUUAUACAACCGAGUAAACUACCUUUCGUGCGAGCUUCCAAGGUCAAGCUUUAUACUUGCAGAUCAACUCCUUAAAUUAAUGCAAAAUCUCCUUUUA